rnacentral:rRNA from 1 species
AUAUUGUACAAUGGGGGAAACCCUGAUCCAGCCAUGCCGCGUGUGUGAAGAAGGGNUUNNGAUUGNANAGCACUUUAAGUUGGNNNNNAGGGUUGUUGGAGAAUAUCCAGCAAAUUUGACGUUACCGACAGAAUAAGCACCGGCUAACUCUGUGCCAGCGGCCGCGGUAAUACAGAGGGUGCAAGCGUUAAUCGGAAUUACUGGGCGUAAAGCGCGCGUAGGUGGUUCAGUAAGAUGGGUGUGAAAUCCCCGGGCUUAACCUGGGAACUGCUUUCAUAACUGCUGAGCUAGAGUACGGUAGAGGGUAGUGGAAUUUCCUGUGUAGCGGUGAAAUGCGUAGAUAUAGGAAGGAACACCAGUGGCGAAGGCGACUACCUGGACUGAUACUGACACUGAGGUGCGAAAGCGUGGGGAGCAAACAG